rnacentral:rRNA from 1 species
GGGGAAUUUUGGACAAUGGGCGCAAGCCUGAUCCAGCAAUGCCGCGUGCAGGAAGAAGGCCUUCGGGUUGUAAACUGCUUUUGUACGGAACGAAACGGUCCUGGUUAAUACCUGGGGCUAAUGACGGUACCGUAAGAAUAAGCACCGGCUAACUACGUGCCAGCAGCCGCGGUAAUACGUAGGGUGCGAGCGUUAAUCGGGAUUACUGGGCGUAAAGCGUGCGCAGGCGGUGCUGUAAGACAGGCGUGAAAUCCCCGGGCUCAACCUGGGAAUUGCGCUUGUGACUGCAGUGCUGGAGUACGGCAGAGGGGGGUGGAAUUCCACGUGUAGCAGUGAAAUGCGUAGAGAUGUGGAGGAACACCAAUGGCGAAGGCAGCCCCCUGGGUCGAUACUGACGCUCAUGCACGAAAGCGUGGGGAGCAAACA